UGCCAGCAGCCGCGGUCAUACGUAGGGUGCAAGCGUUAAUCGGAAUUACUGGGCGUAAAGCGUGCGCAGGCGGUUAUAUCAGACCGCUGUGAAAUCCCCGGGCUCAACCUGGGAACUGCAUUUGUGACUGUAUAGCUAGAGUACGGCAGAGGGGGAUGGAAUUCCGCGUGUAGCAGUGAAAUGCGUAGAUAUGCGGAGGAACACCGAUGGCGAAGGCAAUCCCCUGGGCCUGUACUGACGCUCAUGCACGAAAGCGUGGGGAGCAAACAGGAUUAGAUACCCUGGUAGUCCACGCCCUAAACGAUGUCAACUGGUUGUUGGGUCUUCACUGACUCAGUAACGAAGCUAACGCGUGAAGUUGACCGCCUGGGGAGUACGGUCGCAAGAUUAAAACUCAAAGGAAUUGACGG
rnacentral:rRNA from 1 species